CAUGCAGAGAACUUUCCAGAGAUGGAUUGGUGCCUUCGGGAACUCUGACACAGGUGCUGCAUGGCUGUCGUCAGCUCGUGUCGUGAGAUGUUGGGUUAAGUCCGUAACGAGCGCAACCCUUGUCCUUAGUUACCAGCACGUUAUGGUGGGCACUCUAAGGAGACUGCCGGUGCAAACCGGAGGAAGUGGGGAUGACGCCAAGUCAUCAUGGCCCUUACGGCCUGGGCUACACACGUGCUACAAUGGUCGGUACAAAGGGUUGCCAAGCCGCGAGGUGGAGCUAAUCCCAUAAAACCGAUCGUAGUCCGGAUCGCAGUCUGCAACUCGACUGCGUGAAGUCGGAAUCGCUAGUAAUCGUGAAUCAGAACGUCACGGUGAAUACGUUCCCGGGCCUU
rnacentral:rRNA from 1 species